AAGAUAAAAGCGAAAACAAAUCAUUCUGGAGAAUAAUUAAAGUAAGUGAAAGUAACUUUCUUUUUCUCUUUCUUUCUUUCUUUCUUCAUCUCUUUCUUUAUUUCAUUCUUUUCUUUCUUUCUUUCUUUCUUUCUCUUUUCUUUGUCUUCUUUCUCUCUUUAUCUCUUUCUUUCUCUCUUUUCUCUUUCUUUCUUUCCUUCUCUCUUUCUUUUUUGUCUCCGUCCCUCCCUCCCUCCCUUCCUUCCUCACAAGGUUAGAGUACACCUCUUGGGGGCAGGAUGCAAUUAUAAGAGGUUCUCUACCUAAGAAAUGCAAACAUUGCAACUUAAUUCUUUGUACCCUCAAUUAACAUUUCUUUCUUUCGAGUCAGACUCUCUGUCCCCCUGGGUAGAGGGCCAUGCCAUCAUCACAGCUCACAGCAACCUCAAACUCCUGGGCUCAAGUGAUCCUCCUGCUUCAGCCUCCCAAGUAGAAGGGACUACAGGCGCCUGCCACCACACCUGCAUAAUUUUUCUGUUUUUAGUAGAGAUGGGGUGUCACUCCUGCUCGGGCUGGUCUCCAAAUCUGAGCUCAGGUGAUCCACACUCCUUGGCCUCCCAAGUGCUGGGAUUACAGUUUUUGGCUGGGGCCGGGUUUGAACCUGCCACCUCCGGUAUGUGGGGCUGGUGCUCUACUCCUUUGAGCCACAGGUGCCGUCCCAGUGUCACAGGCUGUUGGAGCAAUUCUGAUAUUGUCAGAAAAUCUCCCAGAAUGUGUAUAUGUGUAUGUUUGAAGAAAUGUUGCAGGAGAACUACAUAUUGGCACCACGUUUUUGAGUGUUGAUGCAGAAAGAGGUCUCUCUCUGCAACCACGGGGUUUGCUGUCUUUUAUUAAUGACUCAGAUAAAGAUGCGGAAGAUAAUAUUCAACCAAAAUUUGCCAAUAACUCAAAGUUAUAAAUGCACCCUGGAUAUCUCUAGAGCAGUGUUUUUCAACCUUUUUUUUUUAAAUCUCAUGGCACACUUACAUUAUCUCGAUGAAAAAAAAGAGUUAAUAAAAGAAAAUAAACUUCCUGUGCUUUGAACUUCUUUUGAAAAUAAUUUAUGAAUAAUC